GUUUGGGUUUGGAUUUGGAUUUGGACCCGCCGCCGAUUUGUUUGGUCUGGAUCCGCCGCCGCCGGCGACGGCUGCGGCGGACCGGAUCCGUUCAGUCUUCGGGGCGCGCCGUCUAGAUCCGCCGCCCCCCCUCUCUCGUUCCCCUCAUCCACAACCCCCUCCGCGCCGUACGUCGCCGUCGCCGCCGACCCCUCGACCGCGCUCCAACUCCACGGCCGCAGCCGCGCCGUACCUCGGCGUCGCCACCGACCCCUCGACCGCGCUACAACGCCACGGCCCCCGCCGCGCCGUACCUCGGCGUCGCCGCCGACUCCUCGACCGCGCUCCGACCCCACGGCCCCCGCUCUCCCUCGCCGGGACAUCGCGUUCCGUGCUGCUGCGACUCCGCCCGGCACCAGUUGCCGGCCGUUGGGCUCUGAGGUCACUCUUGCAAAAGGCGGCCGCCGCCUUGGAUGACGGCAACAACGACCUGUCAGGCAGCUCCACUCGCCCUCCCCCACUGCGGCAAGAGCAGCACCGGCCACAAGGCCGUGCCCUCCAAGUCCAGCAAGGCAGACGGGUUGAGUGAUAUCCCAAAGAACCUCAGGGAGCUGCUCACCACCAGCUUGCUCGAGGGCCAGCCCGUCAACUACAUGAGGAAAGGGAAGUGACCACUACUCCGUGGAGUCAUUAAAGGCUUAGGCAUAUCGUGCUCUUGCACUUCAUGUAAAGGCCGAAAUGUUGUUUCAUCUUUUUAUUUCGAGGUGCCUGCUGGGAGUCAUAAAAAGCGCCCCACUGAUUAUAUUUUCCUGGAAAUUGGAAAUACUCUGCAUGAUGUAUUGAGGGUGUGCACAGGUGCUACCUUAGACACACUGGAAUCUGCAGUACAGGGAGCAAUAGGCCCAGUGCCUAAGAAGAGGACAUUUUUCUGGUUCUUCAUGUUAGCAAUGGCUAUUUCCAUUUAAGUUCCCUUGGCUUCUUCAUUCUUGCUGUGAAGUAAUGACAGAAACAGUUGUUUGAGGGUUGGCCUGUUGAUUGUGUAACCAAUGAUACAUCCAAGUUAUGAGUGGUAUUGGCUCUGAGGGUUGGCAUUUGUGCAGGAAUCAUUUGAUCUAUUAUCCAAGCUACGACCGGGCGAGACCUUAUUCCAGCCAUGGUCUACGGGAGGAGCGUAAGGGAUCAAGAUUAAUAAGGGAUGUACUGAAGCGUAGGAUCUUCUCAGGGCUCCAGAAUUUUGACCGGAGUAAUGUUGCAUCUAUUGUCAUGGCUGCAGAUAAGGUGCAUUUAUUUUUCCAUACUCUGUUUUUUACAGUUUAGCUCUUGCAGAGGGAUGAAAUGGUGUAUAAAUUCUGAUAUCUUUUGAGAUUUUGAUGGAUAAAGAACUGUUAGCCUAUGAACUUCGUUUGGGGUAAACCGUAAACCUGAUAGCUUUGCCGACCUCUUGCUGUGGUCUGAAACCUACUGGGCAACAUAAUGAUGUUGAGUUUUCUAAGUGAUGUACUCUGGAGUUGAUAAUAAGGCCACCUUAGGUCACUGCUGAUCUUGUCAAUCGAGAAGUCUGCAAGCAGACAGCAGGGUUAGGUUAGUACCUAAACUUCGCCGUUUAUCUGAUCAGAAGAAUUAGAACCAGCACAUAGUAUCCCUUCGCAUGGUAUUACAUCAAUUGUGAAUUCUGUUUUCGAGAAGUCAUAGUCAAUGUGAGGUAAUUAGCUGCAGCAACAAAGUAUCCUCAUCAAAAUUCAGCCAACACCAAGGAAAUCAGUAUCUGGGAAGCAACUGUUUUCAUUGGUAUUCAGGAAGCAACUGUUGUUAUCAUCCCACUCUGAUACUCUUUUUCCAACUAAUAACUUUUUCUAAUAAGUAUUACUGGAAAACUUUAUAUGAACAUUUUUUUUCUGAAUUUUCAACGAGGGGAGGGGUACCCCACCUGAAUUUCUUAUAAAAAAGGGCCAAAUGCCCAGGAUCAUUUUUACAGACCGGGGCAGUUACAAGCGGCUCAAAGGGGGGGGGGCAAGACUAGUUACAUAGGAACUAACGCAGCACCACAAGUGCGCGGAGCCACAAGUCUACGUGGCUCUGGUGGUCGACCCUAAACCUUGACCUCCAUAGCACCAUGUCAUCGCGGCAGUUCUUCGUGGUCGCAGCGAGAGAUGGCAUAGCUUCACUAAAGACCACGGCAUUCCGGCGUUACCAGAGAUGCCAACAGCAAAGGAGUAAGAAGGUGUCAGGUGAGGCGGCAUCGCUGGCGUAAUGUCGAAGAGGUGGACGUUGUUGACCGUGGCGCUGCCCGUGGAGAGUCCCAGGCGCCGCCAAAACCGCACGGCAAACGCGCAGCUGAAGAUGAAUGAUCAGCUGUUUCGAGCGGCGCCGAGCAUCACGGACAGCCAGCCUUCGAGGCUGUUAUGACCGGCGUCACUUAUAGCCGAAGGAGGCCCAUUGGGCGUGUCUAGUUAGGGGCCUAGCCCAACUUAUCUUAUUUUUAUUAGCAGCAAGGAUUAUAUAAACAGAUGUAAGGCUACCUUUUGGAAUUAAGCAAUAAGUCAUAACUAUUGCCCGGCUCCCCUUAGGAGCCGGAACCCUAAACCCUAGCUGCCUCUCACCAUCGCCGCCUCUUCCUCCCGCGCGAUCACGGAGCCGACGCGCCGCCGGCCACGCCCAACCUCUCGCCAACCCACCUCUCACCCCUACAACCUACGGUCGAGACCCGGUAGGACCCUAGCUCCUAUCAAUCUGGUAUCAGGUAGCUCUGGUUCGAUCAUGUCUACGCCGCAGCCCACCCCGUCUCCCCCACUGU